rnacentral:snRNA from 1 species
AAGCUUAUUUCAACAGCACAUAUAUUAAAACUGAAACAAUACAGAGAAGAUUGUCAUGACCCCUGUGCAAGGAUGACAUGCAAUUUGUGAGCAUUCCACAGGUUUA